CCUGUGCUGCUGCUUCCUCUCCCUGCUUGGCUUCUGGCACUCUCUCAAAGAGUGUGCGGCUGAGUCAAGACUAAUACUAGAAGAUCUUUUAAAUUUCUAGUCAUUGUUUUUGAUGGAUUUGCUGCAACUCUGCCAUCUGAAACCUGAAGUUGGCUGUUUUCUUAGCAAUGAUGGUUGGAGAUGUGAAUUGAUAAAAUACUGAAAGUAGUUAAGACAUAGAAAAAAUGUGGAGAAAAUUACCACAUCCUUAGCUCCUCUAGAGAAGGAAGAAAAUAAACCCCAAGAAGAAACAGGAAAGAAGUACGAAUACAUACUUGAAAACACACUAUUGUCACAGAUAUCAGGGAAAAGUGAUAGAGGAAGUGGUCAACUGUGUUAAAUGUACCAAAACAUCAAGAAAAAGUAAGAACAAAGAAAGAACUGCUGAGAUUGACAAAUGAAGACAUUGUCAGAAACCAUUUCAGUGAGCAAUCGCACUGGCGUAGUGAAAGAAAUCAUUGGGUUGCAGGAAAUGGAGGCAAUAAAUAGACCCCACUCAUUCAAUGUUAACCGCAAUCCCAAACCACCGUUUCAGAAGUGCCUGCUUUUAAUUGCUGGGGAAAUGCAGUAAACAGGUGUAAAUGACUUGAUGCAGAUUCACCAGUGUUGCAGAAGAAUGCAUGUCAGCGAUGUCCAGAGAUGGCAUUAUCUUUGUAGUUGAAGCAUGUGGCUGAUUUUUCAAAUACCACACAAAAUUCUGAAGCCCUUAGGAGACAGGAACUGUGUUUAAGAGACAGUCAAAAGGAGAAGCUCUGCUUGCUAUGUGCUGAAGUGCUCCCAUCUGUGCUGAAUUCUAACAGAAUGUCUCCUCCAUCAUAUACAGAUUUAUGGAUGGGUUCCUUUAUUACCACACAUCUUUCCUUCUUGAAGAUGACAGAAACCUACAGCUGUCAAUCACUAAUAAGCGUAGUUUUCUUGCAUUACAAUCCACUCUACAG